GUUUUCUUUUUCCUUCUCUCUUCUCCUUCCCGUGGUUUUCUCUCGAGUUCCCUCUGCAACUCUCUUUCUCUCCAACAUAUCUCUGCCUCCAGACCACCAAAUGGCGAGCUGUUGGCCUAGAUAGACUCGUCUCCUCCUCCUUAACAUGCAUGUGGGAGUUGUUUACCGCGAUUUGGUCGGAAAUGUGGAGAUCGAAGCCAACAUUUUUACUGUAGCAAAAUGGUCAACGCCGAUUUCCGGUCACCUUCGGCCACAAACCCAGUUCCAUUAGAAGCGCCUUGAGCCACUCUUCAUGCUCUCCAAACCUCUUGCAGCGAUUCAAAGCGUGGAGGAAGAAAGCAUAAUUAGAAGAUUUUACUGUUCACUCGAGUUCAACUUUCUCCUUAAUUGUUGAGGUAUUUCUACUCAUUUUCUGACUUUGUCAUAGUUGAGAAAAUUAAUGUGUGUGUUGAGGAGGUGCUACUACCAAAGUUUGGUGGCCAUCGGAGGUGGUGGCCGGUGGUCGGCGCCGCCACUGUAGGUGGCGUAUGGCGGCGCUUAGGGCUGCUUGCUGACUUCAAUUUUAGCCUAUAAAAUCCUAUUAAUGUUGUAGAGCUUGUAUAUGAAGUUUGGUGAAGAUUGGUGAUGUUUUGAAUUUAUUAUGAAUUUUCAAAAAGUAAGAGUUUUGACUAUCGAUUUACGAGAAUCCGACCGUCGGAUUUCUCUCGAAUCUGCCCUAGAACUUGUAAAUUAAUGAAAUGGUGUUAGUGAUAAAGUUUGGGUUGAAUUGGAGAAGGAAAUGGGGAUGUUGGCCUAAGAGGACAACGUACCGAGCUAUUGCUCGAUGA
rnacentral:lncRNA from 1 species